rnacentral:rRNA from 1 species
UACGAGGGGUGCAAGCGUUAUUCGGCAUUAUUGGGCGUAAAGGGUGUGUAGACGGCUUUUUAAGUCAACCGUUAAAUUCUCCGGCCUAACCGGAGGUCCGCGGUAGAUACUGACUGGCUAGAGGGUGGAAGAGAGAAGUGGAAUUCUCGGAGUAGCGGUAAAAUGCGUAGAUCUCGAGAGGAACACCGAUGGCGAAGGCAGCUUCUUGGUCCAUUUCUGACGUUGAGACACGAAAGCGUGGGGAGCAAACAGG